CAAUAAAAGUGAUUUUUUAUGGCACUUUUAAAAUAAAUCCAUAUCCACCUUGUGUGCAAUGUUUUUUUUUUAUAAACUUUUUAAUUUGAACAACCAUUUGUCUGAAUAACGAUAUUUCUGAAUUACUUAAUUCAAAAUA
rnacentral:misc_RNA from 1 species